rnacentral:rRNA from 1 species
GACGUAGGAUGCAAGCGUUGUUCGGAUUUAUUGGGCGUAAAGCGCGCGUAGGUGGCUAGAUAAGUCUGGUGUUAAAGCUAGGGGCUCAACCCCUGUGUUGCACUGGAAACUGUCUGGCUCGAGGAUGGUAGGGGAAGGUGGAAUUCCGAGUGUAGCGGUGAAAUGCGUAGAUAUUCGGAGGAACACCGGUGGCGAAAGCGACCUUCUGGGCCAUUUCUGACACUGAGGCUCGAAAGCUUGGGGAGCAAACGGG